AAAAAAUAAACUGAAGAAAAUUUUGAGUGAUUUUUCCAAGUCCGGAGUCAUUGUUUCUUGGUGUCAAACCAAAGCUUUGAGCAUCUGCGUGUGAGCCCAGAACUAAAGGACACAACCUCCUCAACAUUAGCAAGACAUCCUAAACGAGAGAGUGCCACUGAGAAAUAUGAGGUUAGCUAUAGAGAUAAUAACGGGGAGGAUAUUCUACAUAGAGA